UACGUAGGGUGCGAGCGUUGUCCGGAAUUAUUGGGCGUAAAGAGCUCGUAGGCGGUGUGUCACGUCGGCCGUGAAAACCUGCAGCUUAACUGUGGGCGUGCGGUCGAUACGGGCAUCACUGGAGUUCGGCAGGGGAGACUGGAAUUCCUGGUGUAGCGGUGAAAUGCGCAGAUAUCAGGAGGAACACCGGUGGCGAAGGCGGGUCUCUGGGCCGACAUUGACGCUGAGGAGCGAAAGCGUGGGGGAGCGAACAGG
rnacentral:rRNA from 1 species